rnacentral:rRNA from 1 species
CGCGUAGGCGGGGAUACAAGUCAGGUGUGAAAUCUAUGGGCUUAACCCAUAAACUGCACUUGAAACUGUAUCUCUUGAGUGUCGGAGAGGUAGACGGAAUUCCUAGUGUAGCGGUGAAAUGCGUAGAUAUUAGGAGGAACACCAGUGGCGAAGGCGGUCUACUGGACGAUAACUGACGCUGAGGCGCGAAAGCGUGGGAGCAAACA